AACUAAUGAACUUGAACAAGUAUGUAUUUUGAAAAUACAACAUAGAGCCUAAAUCUCUAUUAGUUU
rnacentral:tRNA from 1 species